UACGUAGGGUGCAAGCGUUGUCCGGAAUUAUUGGGCGUAAAGAGCUCGUAGGCGGUUUGUUGCGUCGGCUGUGAAAACCUGAGGCUCAACCUCAGGCCUGCAGUCGAUACGAGCAGACUAGAGUGUUGCAGGGGAGACUGGAAGUUCCUGGUGUAGCGGUGAAAUGCGCAGAUAUCAGGAGGAACACCGGUGGCGAAGGCGGGUCUCUGGGCAACAACUGACGCUGGAGGAGCGAAAGCGUGGGGGAGCGAACAGG
rnacentral:rRNA from 1 species